ACUCCUGAUACAGCUGUUAAUGAGAAUGAUGUUGAUGAUAACACCUAGCAACUAUUAGUAAAGAUGACCUAAUGGUUGCCUAAUGCCCAGCAAACCUGACUUUUAUUAUUAUUAUUAUUAUUUAUUAUUUAUUUUUUUUUUGUCUUUUUGCUAUUUCUUGGGCCGCUCCCUCGGCAUAUGGAGGUUCCCAGGCUAGGGGUCCAAUCGGAGCUGUAGCCACCGGCCUAGGCCAGAGCCACAGCAACGCGGGAUCCGAGCCGCGUCUGCAACCUACACCACAGCUCACGGCAACGCCGGAUCGUUAACCCACUGAGCAAGGGCAGGGACCGAACCCGCAACCUCAUGGUUCCUAGUCGGAUUCGUUAACCACUGCGCCACGACGGGAACUCCAAACCUGACUUUUAAAUUCGAACACACCCCUGAGCCCUGGACGUUCCCCUCUUGCCAUUAUGACAUGUGGGGUGAAGGUGGGAGGAGGCCUCCGUCUGGCAGAGGCCCCUUUAAAAAUGUACCCGGGUUCCUCCUCUGCCAACCAAGUUCUAAAAAUAUUACUCCAGCAAAAGCUGAAAUAUUUGCAGAGAAAACUGAAUUUCCUGCUACCCUCACCCCCUCCACUCAAAUGGGCCUGCUGCCAUCCUUCUCCCUCAACUGUGGGGGCCAGCGAAGACAGAGGAGAUGUUUUGAAAUCUGAAGAGUCAAGGAGGAUAACUGCAGCACCGAAGGCCAGCAGGUUAACAGAGUGAGGUAGCCUGCUGCCCAAAGCAGCCUGGCCCAGCAUUCCACGGUGCUUCUGUCCCCUUUCCUUGUUCAUCUAUUCAAGAAUCAGAGGUUCAG
rnacentral:lncRNA from 1 species